UAUGACCAUAUCACGUUGAAACACCAGUUCUCGUUCGAUAUUUGAAGUUAAUCAACGCCGAGCUUGAUCAGUAUCUAGAUGGGUGACCGCUUAGAAAUAUCAGGGGCUGUAA